UACAGAGGUCUCAAGCGUUGUUCGGAUUCAUUGGGCGUAAAGGGUGCGUAGGUGGCGCCGUAAGUCGGGUGUGAAAUUUCGGAGCUUAACUCCGAAACUGCAUUCGAUACUGCGGUGCUUGAGGACUGGAGAGGAGACUGGAAUUCAUGGUGUAGCAGUGAAAUGCGUAGAGAUCAUGAGGAAGACCAGUGGCGAAGGCGGGGUCUCUGGACAGUUCCUGACACUGAGGCACGAAGGCCAGGGGAGCAAACGGG
rnacentral:rRNA from 1 species